AUGGGACAAAAAAUACAUCCGCUUGGUUUCAGACUUGAAUUUCUAGCCAGACAAUUAAAGAAUAGAAUUCCGUUUCAUAAAGCAAUGCAAAAAACUAUAAAAAAAUUCGCUGAAGAGGCAGGUGCAGGUACAAAAGGAGUUCAAAUACAAAUUGCGGGACGCAUCGACGGAAACGAAAUUGCACGUGUCGAAUGGAUCAGAGAAGGUAGGAUUCCUCUACAAACCAUUCGAGCUAAAAUUGAUUAUUGUUCCUAUCCAGUUCGAACUAUUUAUGGGGUCUUAGGAAUCAAAGUUUGGAUAUUUAUAAACAACGACUAA